rnacentral:lncRNA from 1 species
CCGUGCUUCCGUUCACUCAUCUGUCAUGGGGGUUAAUGAUCUAAUGAAGUGGCCGCUGAGGUAGAAUUCUGGCAUACUGCUGCCAGUGCCAGUCCAUGUGAUGACCUCCCAGCCCAGAAGUCCGGACUGUUGGAAAAGCUGUGUCCCAGGAGGAAUGUGAUAAGAAAGUCACCUGAUCAGAGGUGUAAGGUGGAGAAACAACGGAGCCCGAGGAGUCCCCUUGGCUUUCGGCCCUCACACUGAAAAGCAUCAUGAACCAGAUUCCAGCACAGAACCACUUCUGCUGAAGACUGCAGUGCUGUUGGGGAGAGAGGAAUGAUCUCCAAGAAAUGCCUGUUCAUCAUCUGUCUCUCUAUAUCCAUUUCUGCCUAAGUGUCUAAAACUCUAAUCAUACUGGAUGCUGUGUGAUAUACACUCCAAGAACAGAAAAACGAUAAG